UACGUAGGGUGCAAGCGUUGUCCGGAUUUAUUGGGCGUAAAGAGCUCGUAGGCGGUUAGUCACGUCGGAUGUGAAAACUCAGUGCUUAACACUGAGCCUGCAUUCGAUACGGGCUGACUAGAGUAUUGUAGGGGAGACUGGAACUCCUGGUGUAGCGGUGAAAUGCGCAGAUAUCAGGAAGAACACCGGUGGCGAAGGCGGGUCUCUGGGCAAUUACUGACGCUGAGGAGCGAAAGCGUGGGGAGCAAACAGG
rnacentral:misc_RNA from 1 species